rnacentral:misc_RNA from 1 species
GAUGAAGAACGCAGCGAAAUGCGAUAAGUAAUGCGAAUUGCAGAAUUCAGUGAGUCAUCGAAUCUUUGAACGCACAUUGCGCCCUGUGGUAUUCCGCAGGGCAUGCCUGUUCGAGCGUCAUUUCAACCCUCAAGCUCUGCUUGGUGUUGGGCCCUGCCCGCUGCGGCCGGCCCUAAAGACAGUGGCGGUGCCGCCUGGCCCUGAGCGUAGUACAUCUCUCGCUCCAGUGCCCGGUGGUAGCCUGCCAGAACCCCAACUCUCGUGGUUGACCUCGGAUCAGGUAGGGAUACCCGCUGAACUUAAGCAUUUCAAUAAGCGGAGGA